GAUGAAGAACGCAGUGAAAUGCGAUAAGUAAUGUGAAUUGCAGAAUUCAGUGAAUCAUCGAAUCUUUGAACGCACCUUGCACCCUUUGGACUGCUCCAAAGGGUAUGCUCGUUUGAGUGUCAUUGUACUCUCACACUCUCUGAUCCUUUGGAUUUGGGGAGCGGUGGACUUGGGUGCUUGCUGCUUCCUUGUGGCUCACCUGAAAUGCAUCAGUGCAUCUCUCGAUUGGACAUAGUACGGCGUGAUAAGUGUCUUCGCCGGCACCUCAUAUGAGGGUGGCCGAUCGGGAGCUCUGUGCUUUCAAACCGUCUUCGGACAACGCUGACAACUUGACCUCAAAUCGAGGAGGACUACCCGCUGAACUUAAGCAUAUCAAUAAGCGGAGGA
rnacentral:misc_RNA from 1 species